CUACAGGCUUAACACAUGCAAGUCGAGCGUCAGCAUGGUCUUAGCUUGCUAAGGCCGAUGGCGACCGGCGCACGGGUGAGUAACACGUAUCCAACCUGCCGUCUACUCUUGGACAGCCUUCUGAAAGGAAGAUUAAUACAAGAUGGCAUCAUGAGUCCGCAUGUUCACAUGAUUAAAGGUAUUCCGGUAGACGAUGGGGAUGCGUUCCAUUAGAUAGUAGGCGGGGUAACGGCCCACCUAGUCUUCGAUGGAUAGGGGUUCUGAGAGGAAGGUCCCCCACAUUGGAACUGAGACACGGUCCAAACUCCUACGGGAGGCAGCAGUGAGGAAUAUUGGUCAAUGGGCGAGAGCCUGAACCAGCCAAGUAGCGUGAAGGAUGACUGCCCUAUGGGUUGUAAACUUCUUUUAUAAAGGAAUAAAGUCGGGUAUGGAUACCCGUUUGCAUGUACUUUAUGAAUAAGGAUCGGCUAACUCCGUGCCAGCAGCCGCGGUAAUACGGAGGAUCCGAGCGUUAUCCGGAUUUAUUGGGUUUAAAGGGAGCGUAGAUGGAUGUUUAAGUCAGUUGUGAAAGUUUGCGGCUCAACCGUAAAAUUGCAGUUGAUACUGGAUAUCUUGAGUGCAGUUGAGGCAGGCGGAAUUCGUGGUGUAGCGGUGAAAUGCUUAGAUAUCACGAAGAACUCCGAUUGCGAAGGCAGCCUGCUAAGCUGCAACUGACAUUGAGGCUCGAAAGUGUGGGUAUCAAACAGGAUUAGAUACCCUGGUAGUCCACACGGUAAACGAUGAAUACUCGCUGUUUGCGAUAUACAGCAAGCGGCCAAGCGAAAGCGUUAAGUAUUCCACCUGGGGAGUACGCCGGCAACGGUGAAACUCAAAGGAAUUGACGGGGGCCCGCACAAGCGGAGGAACAUGUGGUUUAAUUCGAUGAUACGCGAGGAACCUUACCCGGGCUUAAAUUGCAGAUGAAUUACGGUGAAAGCCGUAAGCCGCAAGGCAUCUGUGAAGGUGCUGCAUGGUUGUCGUCAGCUCGUGCCGUGAGGUGUCGGCUUAAGUGCCAUAACGAGCGCAACCCUUGUUGUCAGUUACUAACAGGUUCCGCUGAGGACUCUGACAAGACUGCCAUCGUAAGAUGUGAGGAAGGUGGGGAUGACGUCAAAUCAGCACGGCCCUUACGUCCGGGGCUACACACGUGUUACAAUGGGGGGUACAGAGGGCCGCUACCACGCGAGUGGAUGCCAAUCCCCAAAACCUCUCUCAGUUCGGACUGGAGUCUGCAACCCGACUCCACGAAGCUGGAUUCGCUAGUAAUCGCGCAUCAGCCACGGCGCGGUGAAUACGUUCCCGGGCCUUGUACACACCGCCCGUCAAGCCAUGGGAGCCGGGGGUACAAGAAGUGCG
rnacentral:rRNA from 1 species